rnacentral:rRNA from 1 species
AUUGAACGCUGGCGGCAGGCCUAACACAUGCAAGUCGAGCGAGCGGCGGACGGGUGAGUACUGUAUGGGGACUGCCCGAUAGAGGGGGAUAACUACUGGAAACGGUGGCUAAUACCGCAUACUAUCGGAUAACCCAUAUGGGAUUAGCUAGGGGGUAAGGUAAUGGCUUACUUAGGCGACGAUCCCUAGCUGGUCUGAGAGGGUGAUCAGGCGCACUAGGACUGAGAAACGGCCCAGACUCCUACGGAGGGAGCAGUGGGGAAUAUGGCACAAUGGGGGCAAGCCUGAUGCAGCCAUGCAGCGUGUAUGAAGGAGGCCCUAGGGGUGUGAAGUACUUUCGGUCGGGAGGCGUUACCGACAGAAGAAGCACCGGCUAAAUCCGUGCCAGCCGCCGCGGUAAUUC